AUUGGAUCAUGAACUGUGAUGUUCCCUUUUCAUAUUUUGGCAACAUCGUGACUCUUUUAUAUUCUCUGCCAAAAUCAUGGGGGCAUCACAUUGCUAUGUGGCUUAGCCAUAAUAGCGUUCAUCUGGAGCUGUUGUGAUUCUCCUACAUCGAGCAUAUGUCCAGCCCCAGCCAUGGGUUCAGGCCCCAGCACAAGUCGAGCCCCAACCACAGGUCCAGGCCCCAGCACACGUCCAGCCCCAACCAUGGAUCCAGGCCCCAAUACACAUCCAGCCCCAGCACACAUCUAGCCCCAGCCACGGGUCCAGGCCCCAGCACACGUCCAGCCCCGGCUACGGCAGGCCUUGACAAGGGCAAACAUAUUGUAGAUUAGUCAUAUACAGUCUGAUGCUUACGUUGAUGAACGGCUAAUAUCGAUGAAUACAUACCUGGUGAUUAGUUAGGAAUUAGGACUCUUUGUAAGUUGUAACAACGAGUGUUGUUAUUUUUACUUGACAUUUAUCACAUGCAUAUGAUAAAAUCAUUUUCUGAUUGUCCACUUGAGAGCCACGGGUCCAGGCUCCAGCUACGGCAGGCCUUGACAAGGGCAAACAUAUUGUAGAUUAGUCAUGUGCAGUCUAAGGCUUACGUUGGUGAAGGGCCAAUAUCGAUGAAUACAUAACUAGCGAUUAGUUAGGAGUUAGGACUCUUUGUAAGUUGUAACAGCGAGUGUUGCUAUUUUUACCUGACAUUUAUCACAUGCAUAUGGUAAAAUCAUUUUCUAA